UGGUGCUUCCUCCUUCGUGGUGGUGACAAAUCUUUUGGCACCACUGAGUCAUGCCAUGUCGGUCGCCGAGGUGGGGAUGUGUCUUUGGGCUCCUUUGAGUCAUGCCUCAUGCGCCUUCGUGGUGGCGACAUGUCCUGAGGCUCCUCGGAAUCAUGCCUCAUGCGCCUCCGUGGUGGCGACAUGUCCUGAGGCUCCUCGGAAUCAUGCCUCGUGCGCCUCCGUGGUGGCAGCAUGUCCUGGGGCUCCUCCGAAUCAUGUCUACGCCUCCGUGGCAGCGAGAGGUCCUGAGGAUCCUCUGAAUCAUGUCUCACACGCCUCCUUGGCAGCUCGAGGUCCUGGGGCUCCUC
rnacentral:lncRNA from 1 species